AAUAUUGGACAAUGGGGGCAACCCUGAUCUAGCCAUGCCGCUUGUGUGAAGAAGGUUUUCGGAUUGUAAAGCACUUUAAGUUGGUAGGAAGGGCAGUAAGUUACUACCUUGCUGUUUUGUCGUUACCUACAGAAUAAGCACCGGCUUACUUCGUGCUAGCAUCCGACGUAAUACGAAGGGUGCAAGCGUUAAUCGGAAUUAAUGGGCGUAAAGCGCGCGUAGGUGGUUUGUUAAGUUGGAAGUGAAAGCACCGGGCUCAACCUGGGAACUGCUUUCAAAACUGGCAAGCUAGAGUAGGGCAGAGGGUGGUGGAAUUUCCUGUGUAGCGGUGAAAUGCGUAGAUAUAGGAAGGAACACCAGUGGCGAAGGCGACUACCUGGACUGAUACUGACACUGAGGUGCGAAAGCGUGGGGAGCAAAC
rnacentral:rRNA from 1 species